GGUCGCUUAGCUCAGCUGGUAGAGCGUGCGGUUUACAUCCGCAAGGUCGGGGGUUCGAGACCCUCAGCGACCA
rnacentral:tRNA from 1 species